rnacentral:rRNA from 1 species
UACAGAGGGUGCAAGCGUUAAUCGGAAUUACUGGGCGUAAAGCGUGCGUAGACGGUUAUUUAAGUCAGGUGUGAAAGCCCCGGGCUCAACCUGGGAACCGCGCUUGAGACUGGCACGCUAGAGUUCGGGAGAGGAUGGUGGAAUUCCCAGUGUAGAGGUGAAAUUCGUAGAUAUUGGGAAGAACACCGAUGGCGAAGGCAGCCAUCUGGACCGACACUGACGCUGAGGCGCGAAAGCGUGGGGAGCAAACAGG